CGAAAGUAGACAAAGCCACUAGUUCGAAUGGUCCGUUCAUUUUCGUGAGUGUCAAGAAUAGAAGCUUUCGAAGAGUCGAAGCUUGAAGGUUAGGGUUCAGCGCCUCUGCACCUCCAUCGCUCCAUCCUCAGUCUCACCGGCAGAUGGCGGUAUUUCGUUUGAAACUUUGGACGAACUCCGGCCGUAGUGCCCUUUCUCCGAUGAUCUUCCUUUUGCCCUCUCACUUUCUCCAACAAUAGAGCUUCUUCUUCUCUCAGCGCCUCCUCACCUUCUCUAGUGACAGCAGUACAACACUCUCUCUUAUCCCAAUGCCCUCUCACUUUCUCCAGCGGCAACAACACUCCCUCUUCACUCAAGAAAUCAUAUUUUGGUGAUUUUUUUCUCUUGCAUCUUGCUCUCAAGUGAUAGUCUCCUCUGACCUCUACGAUUUGUUCAUUGAGGUAUUUUCUCAACCUCUAUUCAGGUUUGUGGAAAACAAUGCAUCACCCACUGGCUGGCAAAUGGAUCCAUAACAUCGGAACAUGCCGUAAGAAUUCCUUUAUAUGGAAAAUAUUACAUCAACUUCUUUCGGGUGGUUUGGAGAACGGUUUAUGUGGUUUCAGAAUUUUUAUUCUCUGGUUGCAUUUGUUCAUCCAUCCUCUUGAUGGUACUUGAUCAAAUGGCUAAGUUGGUGAAGUCCACCAAGUGUUGCACUAGGAAUAUGGUCAUGCUAAUAUGAACAAUUUCUUUAGGAAAUGAUAUUUUUUUGGUGUUUGAUUGCAGAUGGAGAUGGGAACCAUUUUGUUUAUUUUCCGAGGAAUUAGGGAAAUAAUUAAUUCCUUAUUGAGUAUUAUUUUCGGAGGAAAACAUUUUGUUUCCCUUCAUCAUUUUAGUUGUAACCAAAACUGGAAUAGUGUAACUCAUUGUUUGCUGAUUCAGAAAGGAGAAUUUUCUCAGUGAAGUAAUUCACAAUCAUCUUCUACUCGUUGAAAUUGAUUCUAAAUCAGCAUAUGUAUCUAUUUAAGUGUUUUUUAAUUACCACUAGUUACUAUCAAAUUUCAGUUUUUGUUAUCUUUUUGAAUGAUAGUGUGUAGUGUCCACCAAAACUACAUUCACAUAACCAUACAUCAAUUAUUCAUAUGCAUGUAUCAUGCAUUCUUAUGAUUCAGAACUUACCAAAUGUAUGGCCCUUGGUAAAGUAGAAUAGCAAAAUAGGAUUCAUGUGGUGGAUGGCAUUUAUCUGGGAUAAUGUUUAGUUUUAAUUGUUCGAACAUUUUCAUUAUAUUAUGAUUUACAGUUUUUCAUUUAGUGUUUUCAAAUUCCAUUCUGCAUCUGGAGUCAAUAAAUUGAUCAGUCAUUCCCUGGAGCAGAUUAUUGGCCCUUGCUUCAUGCUUCCCAUUGACAACAUUUUGGAUCUUUUUGUUCCUUCCUAUAAGAAGUUUGCUUUCCAUUAAAGGGUUCUCCUCAUCAUAUCAUUCAUUAACAAAUUUCAUUUUACUUGUUUUUGGAUCUAUAAUGUGGCUUUGGCCCCCAUUGGGGRUAUUGCUAGACCUGUAACUAGCAGGUUAGUGUUAGCAAGAACUCAAGUGGGGAUAUUGUAGGGUGCACAUUAGGUCCACCGGCCAUACCAUGGAGAGCUUGCAAUUUUGUAGGGUCAAUCCCAUGCUUCCAUUUGGGGAGUGAUGCCCAGUGACCACCUCAAAAUGAAUUGUUUUUCAAUCUUUAAUAUGCCGGAAGACCUUUCAUUUAAUCUUUAAUAUGCCCAAUGACCACCUCAAAAUGUUGGGAAAGGAUAAGAAAAUGAGGGCAUUUGAGUGAAGUUGUAAUGUCAUGAGAAGAAAAUUCGUGUUUCAUUUAAUUUAUAAAGUUUCAUUUAAUUUGGAUUGGAUUGGGUCCAAUCUGGUCCAUUUGCAUUUCAAUUGGAUUGGAUUGAAUCUGGUUUGUAUGGGGUUUGGACCGGAAUCGGUCCAGUCCAUUUGUAAAUUGACCAAUGUUGGACUGGAUCAGAUUGGACCAAAUCUAGUCCAAUUGACAGCCCUAAUUUUUGGUGGUCGCGACUCUCUCUCCUUAUAAUGCCAUAGUAGGUCGAUCCAUUACGCACGUCCUACGUGCAAUAGUAUCCACCUAAUAUCUGGCGAUGAAGUUUUCAACUAACCAUGGAGUAGGAGUUAUGCGAGGUGAUCAGUUCGAAUCUCGUAAAUGCUAUGUAGUUGCUCUCAAAGGGAAAGCGAAGCCAGCGGAUGAUGUCGAGCUUGAGCAGUCAGCGGAAUAUGCUGACGAGAGAGCUGCCCGACAGAGGAGAUGGUCCACAUCCCGGUCUUAGCUGAUGACCCGACCAAGACUCUCCAGAUCGGGGCCUCGAUCAAUGAACCACUCCGCUUCCAACUAUCAGGCCAGUAAGACAGAAGAAGCGCAACCUCACCUCGGAACGUUGGAGGGUAGUUGAUGAAGAGGUCGGGAAGAUCCUAGCGGCAAACUAAAUCAGAGAAGUCCAUUACUCGAGCUGGGUGGCUAACCCAGUUCUGGUAAAAAAGGCCAAUGGCAAGUGGUGCAUGUGCGUYGAUUACACCAACCUGAAUAGAGCCUACCUGAAAUAUUGCUUCCUUCUACCCAAGAUUGACCGCCUAGUGGAUGCAACCUCAGGGCAUGAGUUGCUGAGCUUCCUGGAUGCCUAUUCCGGUUACAACCAAAAUAGGAUGGACCCUGCCGAUGAAGAGAAAACUGCUUUUAUAACUGAGUUCGGGAUGUACUAUUACAAGG